UACGUAGGGGGCGAGCGUUGUCCGGAUUUACUGGGCGUAAAACGCUUGUAGGUGGCCACGCCAAUUCGGACGUGAAAUCUCCCGGCUUAACUGGGAGGGGUCGUUCGAUACUGGCGGGCUCGAGGCAGGUAGGGGGAAGCGGAAUUCCCGGUGUAGUGGUGGAAUGCGUAGAUAUCGGGAGGAACACCAGUGGCGAAGGCGGCUUCCUGGACCUGUUCUGACACUGAGGAGCGAAAGCGUGGGGAGCGAUCCGG
rnacentral:rRNA from 1 species